AUGCCUCCAAGUGAUGAAUGCAGUCCACCCAACCUUACACCUCGUGUGGUUCACUGUGCGAGGCGACCAGGAAGAAAGGUGGGCACAGGUCUGGCCGACUGGCACAGUCAGUCUCCAAGCAGUCGCACGCUGCCGGUUUGGAGGUAGCUCUGU
rnacentral:lncRNA from 7 species